GGAGAGAUAGCUCAGAUGGUAAGAGCACAAUCUGCUCUCCCAGAAAACUUGGGUUCAAUUCCCAACACUCCU
rfam:Cricetulus griseus cell line CHO-K1, whole genome shotgun sequence.